rnacentral:rRNA from 1 species
UACGUAGGGUGCAAGCGUUGUCCGGAAUUAUUGGGCGUAAAGAGCUCGUAGGCGGUUUGUCGCGUCUGCUGUGAAAACUCGGGGCUUAACCCCGGGCCUGCAGUGGGUACGGGCAGACUAGAGUGCGGUAGGGGAGACUGGAAUUCCUGGUGUAGCGGUGAAAUGCGCAGAUAUCGGGAGGAACACCAGUGGCGAAGGCGGUUGCCUGGAGCUUUGCUGACGCUGAUGCGCGAAAGCGUGGGGAGCGAUCCGG